GUGAAUCAUCGAAUUUUUGAACGCAAAUUGCACUCCCUGGUAUCCCGGAGAGUAUGCCUGUUUGAGGGUCAGUUUAAAUAAAAAUUGGUGUGGUUGCCGACUUUUGUGGUGACGCACCGGAUUUGGGUCGUCUCGUUUUUGGUUAAGUGACUUAAAAUUUUGCAUGUUUUUUUUUGAACGUACUUACAUGAUUUUUUGUACGUUUGCGAUAUUUAAUACUAGGAGUGGUUAUCCUCAUG
rnacentral:misc_RNA from 1 species